rnacentral:rRNA from 1 species
CAGUAGCCACGGUAAUACGAGGGGAGCUAGCGUUGUUCGGAAUUACUGGGCGUAAAGCGCGCGUAGGCGGCUUUUUAAGUCAGAGGUGAAAGCCCGGGGCUCAACCCCGGAAUUGCCUUUGAAACUGGAAAGCUAGAAUCUUGGAGAGGUCAGUGGAAUUCCGAGUGUAGAGGUGAAAUUCGUAGAUAUUCGGAAGAACACCAGUGGCGAAGGCGACUGACUGGACAAGUAUUGACGCUGAUGUGCGAAAGCGUGGGGAGCAAACAGGAUUAGAUACCCCGGUAGUCCCUGUCUCUUAUAC